AUACGUAGGUGGCGAGCGUUGUCCGGAAUUAUUGGGCGUAAAGGGAGCGCAGGCGGGAAGGUAAGUCUAUCUUAAAAGUGCGGGGCUCAACCCCGUGAGGGGAUAGAAACUAUCAUUCCUGAGUGCAGGAGAGGAAAGCGGAAUUCCUAGUGUAGCGGUGAAAUGCGUAGAUAUUAGGAGGAACACCAGUGGCGAAGGCGGCUUUCUGGACUGUAACUGACGCUGAGGCUCGAAAGCCAGGGGAGCGAACGGGAUUAGAUACCCCGGUAGUCCUGGCCGUAAACGAUGAAUGCUAGGUGUAGGAGGUAUCGACCCCUCCUGUGCCGGAGUUAACGCAAUAAGCAUUCCGCCUGGGGAGUACGGCCGCAAGGCUGAAACUCAAAGGAAUUGACGGGG
rnacentral:rRNA from 1 species